rnacentral:tRNA from 1 species
GACAGUAUAGCUCAGUGGUAGAGUGCAUGCCUAGCAUGCACAAGAUCCUGGGUUCAAUUCCCUAGUCCCUUCA